CGCGAUACAGGGUGACAGCCCCGUACACAAAAGCGCAUGUGCUGUGAGCUCGAUGAGUAGGGCGGGACACGUGGUAUCCUGUCUGAAUAUGGGGGGACCAUCCUCCAAGGCUAAAUACUCCUGACUGACCGAUAGUGAACCAGUACCGUGAGGGAAAGGCGAAAAGAACCCCGGCGAGGGGAGUGAAAAAGAACCUGAAACCGUGUACGUACAAGCAGUGGGAGCACAGGUUUACCUGUGUGACUGCGUACCUUUUGUAUAAUGGGUCAGCGACUUAUAUUCUGUAGCAAGGUUAACCGUAUAGGGGAGCCGAAGGGAAACCGAGUCUUAACCGGGCGUUAAGUUGCAGGGUAUAGACCCGAAACCCGGUGAUCUAGCCAUGGGCAGGUUGAAGGUUGGGUAACACUAACUGGAGGACCGAACCGACUAAUGUUGAAAAAUUAGCGGAUGACCUGUGGCUGGGGGUGAAAGGCCAAUCAAACCGGGAGAUAGCUGGUUCUCCCCGAAAGCUAUUUAGGUAGCGCCUCGUGAAUUCAUCUCCGGGGGUAGAGCACUGUUUCGGCUAGGGGGCCAUCCCGGCUUACCAACCCGAUGCAAACUGCGAAUACCGGAGAAUGUUAUCACGGGAGACACACGGCGGGUGCUAACGUCCGUCGUGAAGAGGGAAACAACCCAGACCGCCAGCUAAGGUCCCAAAGUCAUGGUUAAGUGGGAAACGAUGUGGGAAGGCCCAGACAGCCAGGAUGUUGGCUUAGAAGCAGCCAUCAUUUAAAGAAAGCGUAAUAGCUCACUGGUCGAGUCGGCCUGCGCGGAAGAUGUAACGGGGCUAAACCAUGCACCGAAGCUGCGGCAGCGACGCUGAUGCGUUGUUGGGUAGGGGAGCGUUCUGUAAGCCUGCGAAGGUGGCCUGUGAGGGUUGCUGGAGGUAUCAGAAGUGCGAAUGCUGACAUAAGUAACGAUAAAGCGGGUGAAAAGCCCGCUCGCCGGAAGACCAAGGGUUCCUGUCCAACGUUAAUCGGGGCAGGGUGAGUCGACCCCUAAGGCGAGGCCGAAAGGCGUAGUCGAUGGGAAACGGGUUAAUAUUCCCGUACUUGGUGUUACUGCGAAGGGGGGACGGAGAAGGCUAUGUUGGCCGGGCGACGGUUGUCCCGGUUUAAGCGUGUAGGUGUGUGUUCCAGGUAAAUCCGGUUCACUUUAACACUGAGGCGUGACGACGAGGCACUACGGUGCUGAAGCAACAAAUGCCCUGCUUCCAGGAAAAGCCUCUAAGCAUCAGGUAACAUCAAAUCGUACCCCAAACCGACACAGGUGGUCAGGUAGAGAAUACCAAGGCGCUUGAGAGAACUCGGGUGAAGGAACUAGGCAAAAUGGUGCCGUAACUUCGGGAGAAGGCACGCUGACACGUAGGUGAAGUGAUUUACUCAUGGAGCUGAAGUCAGUCGAAGAUACCAGCUGGCUGCAACUGUUUAUUAAAAACACAGCACUGUGCAAACACGAAAGUGGACGUAUACGGUGUGACGCCUGCCCGGUGCCGGAAGGUUAAUUGAUGGGGUCAGCGCAAGCGAAGCUCCUGAUCGAAGCCCCGGUAAACGGCGGCCGUAACUAUAACGGUCCUAAGGUAGCGAAAUUCCUUGUCGGGUAAGUUCCGACCUGCACGAAUGGCGUAAUGAUGGCCAGGCUGUCUCCACCCGAGACUCAGUGAAAUUGAACUCGCUGUGAAGAUGCAGUGUACCCGCGGCAAGACGGAAAGACCCCGUGAACCUUUACUAUAGCUUGACACUGAACAUUGAGCCUUGAUGUGUAG
rnacentral:rRNA from 1 species